GCUGCGAACCCAAAGGCUCGUGAGCAGCCUCUUGAACCCCACGCAACCUAUAAAUUCUUCCCGGCUGGCUUUCUCUCUCCAUUGUACUUGUUCGAGAGGAAUGGCGGCGUGUAAGAAGCAGUGGAUUCCGCUCGAAGCUAACCCCGAUGUCUUGAACCAGUUCAUUUGGGGACUUGGCGUUCCGGAGAUCGAAGCGGAGUUCAAUGACGUCUAUGGUUUGGACGAUGAGCUGCUCGAGAUCGUUCCGAAGCCUGUGCUUGCUGUGCUUUUUUGUUACCCUGACUCCCAGGAGAUGAGGGACUUGAGAGAGCAAGAAUCAGAAAGUGGCCAAAAGGAGCUUCCUGUAGAUUUGUAUUUUCUCAAACAAACUGUUGAUAAUGCUUGUGGGACCAUAGGUAUUCUUCAUGCUAUUGGAAAUGUGAAAUCCAAUAUUAAUCUGGUUGAAGGAUCAUAUUUCGACCGAUUCUACAAGUCAACUGCCAACAUGGAUCCAUUUGAGCGAGCCAAGUUUUUUGAGGAGGAUAGAGAAAUGGAGGAUGCACACUCUGUAGCAGCUGUUGCCGGUGAUACUGAGGCUGUUUCAGUUGUUCAGGAGCACUACAUUGCCUUUGCAUGUGUUAAUGGACAACUCUAUGAAUUUGAUGGAAUGAAGUCCCGUCCAUUAAGGCAUGGUCCCUCGUCACCAGAUACCUUAUUACAGGAUACUGCCAAAGUCAUAAAAGCUAUGAUUCAGGAAAAUUCUGAUUCCUUGCGCUUCAAUGUGAUGGCCCUGUCAAAGAAUGCAUCUUGAGAUAUCAUGGGAUUAAAAGACACGGAGGAGCCUCCUCAAUGUUUCAACUGGUUCUACAAUACCUUGUGAUAUAUUGUAUGCGACUCUAAUGGUGGCAUUACUAGGAAGGUUAAGGUACACAUAAACACCAAAUGUGGAGUGAAAGAUGGCAAUGAUUAUUUAUAUUUUAACUAAGUUUCUAUGAUAUGCAUUAUAUUUAUAAUAUGUGACAUUUUUGAGGAAGGCAACAAAAGGCAAACAAGAAUAUGCACAAUAUAAUAGACUUGUAUGAUUAACUGUUAUAUUUAAUUGGAACUUUUGCUAGAAAUUUUUAAAUGCUAUUGCAUAUAUUA